UACGAAGGGGGCGAGCGUUGUCCGGAAUUAUUGGGCGUAAAGAGCUUGUAGGCGGUUUGUCGCGUCUGCCGUGAAAUUUCGAGGCUCAACCUCGAACUUGCGGUGGGUACGGGCAGACUAGAGUGUGGUAAGGGAGACUGGAAUUCCUGGUGUAGCGGUGAAAUGCGCAGAUAUCAGGAGGAACACCGAUGGCGAAGGCAGGUCUCUGGGCCACUACUGACGCUGAGAAGCGAAAGCAUGGGGAGCGAACAGG
rnacentral:rRNA from 1 species